AUUGAACGCUGGCGGCAGGCCUAACACAUGCAAGUCGAGCGAGCGGCGGACGGGUGAGUGAUGUAUGGGGACUGCCCGAUAGAGGGGGAUAACUACUGGAAACGGUGGCUAAUACCGCAUAUUGUCGGAUAACCCACAUGGGAUUAGCUAGUAGGUAAGGUAAUGGCUUUCCUAGUCGACGAUCCCUAGCUGGUCUGAGAGGAUGAUCAGCCACACUGGGACGGAGACACGGCCCAGACUCCUACGGAGGCAGCAGUGGGGACUAUUGCACAAUGGGCGCAAGCCUGAUGCAGCCAUGCCGCGUGUAUGAAGAAGGCCCUAGGGUUGUAAAGUACUUUCAGUCGGGAGGCGUUACCGACAGAAGAAGCACCGGCUAACUCCGUGCCAGCAGCCGCGGUAAUAC
rnacentral:rRNA from 1 species